rnacentral:rRNA from 1 species
UGGCUCGAAGACGGAGAUAACUGCUGGAAACGGAACCUAAUACCCGAUGGUCUCGAUAAUUCGAGAUUGCCGAGUAAAGGCUCCGGCGCGUUGAGAGGAGACCUGUGGACCAUCAGCUCGUUCGUAGGGUAACGGCCUACCUUGUCGAAGACGGGUAGGCGGUCGUGAUAGCGUGACCCCCCGACACUGGCUCUGGCACACGGUCCUCACUCCUACGGGCGGCAGCCGCGCGGAAUAUCGCGCAAUGAGCGAAAUGCUAAACGCGCCAAGCGCGCGCGUGGGUGAUGAAGGCCUUCGGCGCUCAGUCAAAACCCUUUUCUGGGGGAACGAUUAAGGACGGGUACCCCAGGAAUAACCUUGGUCUAACUAUGUGCUACUACCCCGGUAAUACAUAGGGACGGCAAGCGUUAUCGCGGAUGUACUGGGCGUAAAGAGCGUUGAGACGGCUUCCUAAGUUGCACGUGAAAGCUCCCGGCUUAACUGGGAGAGCCCGUUCAAUACUUGCGGGGCUUGAGGACAGCAGAGCGGGGUGGAAUUUCCGGAGUAGUGGCUGAAAUGCGUAGAUAUCGGAAGGAACACCAGUGGCGAAGGCGGCCCCCUGGGCUGCUCCUGACGCUGAAGGUGAAAGUUAGGUUAGCGAACGGGAUUAGAAACCCCGCGUAGUCCUAGCCGUAAACGAUGGAUACUAGGUGUAGGAGGUUCAAACUCCUUCUGUGCCGGAGAUAACGCGUUAAGUAUCCCGCAUGGGGAGUACGAUCGCAAGGCUAAUACUCAAAGGAAUUGACGGGGGCCCGCACAAGCAGCGGAGCGUGUGAUUUAUAUUCGAUGCAACGCGAAGAACCUUACCAGGGCUUGACAUGUAGGUAGUAGUGAAGCGAUAGCAGAACGAUCCUUCGGGAAGCCUACACAGGUGCUGCAUGGCUGUCGUCAGCUCGUG